CAUGUUCUUAUAAGGAAACAUGUAGGAAAGUAUGAUGUUCUGAAAUACAUCAUAGAAAAUUAUUUUGAAAUACACUGGUGGAGAAACGUUCCUUUAAAUUGGUUAAAUUUAAAUCUGUUGGGCGAUAUGUUCAUGAAUGUAUAUACCAUUGAACAUAUCAAUAUGAUUGCGGAGUUUGCAUAUAAUCAGUGCUACAAAUUAAACAUAAAUAUGCAUGACAUAUUUACAAUAAUGCAAAUUCAAAAGGAAAGAAUUAACAGAAUACAACUUGAGAUUUCGAAAUUUUAAAUAAAAAAAGAAACG